rnacentral:pre_miRNA from 1 species
ACGUAGGGCAAUCUGUCUUUAAGUAGAGGUAAAUUACUCUUAAAGAAAAAAAAGGAAUCCUAGGUAGUUUUCCCUUCAAGUCAAGUGUCUUGU